CUUCGAGCACCUCUACCCCCGGAAGUUGAUUUCCGCCAAGGCCCGCCCCGCGAUGCGCCUGUCACUCAACGCGAACAUGCGCGUCACGUGGUCCCAGGCUGAGGGCCCCAUCCUCGGCGCCGGCCACUGCGGCUUGGGUGGUCCACGGAAGGCUGCUCUCUGAUGUCUCAGGUGCCACCGCCUGUUAGUUGCAGCUCUUCAUUCCUCUUGAAUGACAGGCCCUGUUUCAAUGCCUAAUCCAUGCAAAUAAAACCAUCCCCAAAAUGACACUCCCAGCUGGGACUCUAUAAGGAUUGUUCUUGAGAAGAGCCCCACGUAAUCUCUUCACCACCUGGAAGCAGAGUUCAAUAAAUACUGGAACCGAGCUAAGUGCCUGACAUGUAGUAAGUGCUCAAGAAACAGUUGACAACUGCUCCAUCUCCCAACUUGGCAUAUCUGAACUCUCAAGCACCCGGAUGCACCUAAGCCCGGAGCCUCUCCAGACCACUACUAUUUGACUUCAGUCAAAGAACUCUGCUCUAGAAUUACUUUUGUUCUUGUCAACUCCAGAUCACAGCAGUUUAUACAUGCCAUCUGUUUGAGUGACAGUUUAUUUUCAGCUGCCAGGCCAUCCCCUUUUUUCGAAGCCUUCAGUCAAAUAGUUUCUCCUGAAGAAAAAGAAAAGAGAAUGACAUAACUGACAGUUUUAUUUGAAAGGAAACAUGGUUAUAUAGAUUUUUUGUGUGUAUUUCAAACUGUCAAUAGGUGUAAAAGGGAAACAGUCAACUAUCAGGCCACUUGCUAAAAAUUCUUCAAUUUUUGACAUGGGACAGAUUUGGAGAACAUUUAUGUAACAAUUUUUUAUUGAGUGUCUACUUGUGCUACUGGGCCAAGUUGUGACAAUCCAAGAGUGGACAAGAUACAUUCAAGAUUUUUGCUUUCAAGGAGUUUGCAGUCUAAUGAGAAAGACAGUCAAGUAACCUGGGAACUUGGAGCAUAAGUCUCUGGAAUAUUCGCCUUCAUUGUAUCACAGGCAUUCUUUAACAUUUUGGGCGACAUUAUUUUUCUCAUCUUUCUGUUCGACAAAAUUGGCUAAAGCCUAUAAUGAUCUCUGCUCUGUACUUGAGGUGGAAAAUGUCAGCCGGGAAUCUGAACAAUCAAUUCUCCAAUAAGUGUAGGCUCCAGUGGUUAGUGAGCAGUUUCGAUAUUGAGCACAAAUAUCACCUCUUCUACACCCUUUUUUCCCAUCCACCAUCUUUGUGUGCACAGCAAACAGAUUUCUGUUGUAGGAAAUGUGAUGCUUUCUUACACGUAUUUGUUUACCUAUCUCCUAGACCACCAAGUCAAGGACCACUUAUUUGUAUAUCUGGCAAUGUACUUCCCAAUACUCGGCAAUCUGGCAUGGUGUCUACUGAUCAGAAAAAAGGCCAUCACCCUAAUGGAUUGUGACCUUCUGAGAUGAGAAACAUGGUUCUUGCCCUCAAGAGGAUCAAGUUUGAAGAAAGAUAAGACAGUCAAAUCAAAUAGAGUGAUAAUAAGCACUAAAAUCAAGUUUGUUGUUAAAAUGUGGAGGAGAAGCACCUCACUCAACCUGCAUUAAACAAGUACUUCUCAGAAAAUGUAAAGCUCAAGAAGAGUCUUGAAGAAUCAGCAGGAAUCGGCCAAGCUAAAAAGAGACAAAAGUGUGCUCCAGACAGAAGAACAUGCACCUGUGCAUGUCUUUCCUCACCUGUGAACUGUGGAGGAGACAUGAUACUCAAAAAGAUACUGCUAAGGCUGAUGUCGAAGAGUGUACUGCCUAUGUUUUCUUCUAGGAGUUUUAUGGUUUCAGGUCUUAUAUUCAAGUCUUUAAUCCAUUUUAAGUUAAUUCUUGUGUAUAGUGUAAGCUAAUGGUCUACUUUCAUUCUUUUGCAUGUGGCUGUCUUGUUUUCCAAACACCAUUUAUUAAAGAGACUUUGCUUUCUCCAUUGUAUGCCCUUGACUCCUUUGUUGAAAAUUAGCUGUCCAUAGAUGUGUGAGUUUAUUUCUGGGUUCUCGAUUCAGUUCCAUUGAUCUGUGUGUCUGUUUUCAUGCCAGUACCAUGCUGUUUUGAUUACUAUAACUUUGUAGUAUAUUUUGAAAUCAGGAAGUGUGACACCUCUUUCACUUUUUUGC